rnacentral:rRNA from 1 species
CCGUGCAAAGGUAGCACAAUCACUUGUCUCUUAAAUCGAGACCUGUAUGAAUGACAUCACGAGGAUUUAACUGUCUCCCUUCACCCAUCAGUGAAACUAAUCUCCCUGUGAAAAAGCAGGGCUACUUAUACAAGACGAGAAGACCCUAUGGAGCUUUAAACUAAUAACACUUGCUCACUUUUCCAUAAUACUCAGCAUAAUGCUUAUACGUUUUCGGUUGGGGUGACCCUGGAGAAAAACCUAACCUCCAUGCUGUUAAAUAUAAGAACCUCAAUUCUACAAUCAACAUAUUGACAUAAUUGACCCAAACAUUUGACCAACGAACCAAGUUACCCUAGGGAUAACAGCGCCAUCCACUUCAAGAGCACAUAUCGACAAGUGGGCUUACGACCUCGAUG